rnacentral:rRNA from 1 species
UACGUAGGGGGCAAGCGUUGUCCGGAUUUAUUGGGCGUAAAGAGCGUGUAGGCGGCUUUACAGGUCCGUUGUGAAAACUCGAGGCUCAACUUCGAGACGCCGGUGGAAACCGUAAAGCUAGAGUCCGGAAGAGGAGAGUGGAAUUCCUGGUGUAGCGGUGAAAUGCGCAGAUAUCAGGAGGAACACCCGUGGCGAAAGCGGCUCACUGGACCGGUACUGACGCUGAUGCGCGAAAGCGUGGGGAGCAAAUAGG